AACGAACGCUGGCGGCAGGCUUAACACAUGCAAGUCGAGCGCCUCGCAAGGGGAGCGGCAGACGGGUGAGUAACGCGUGGGAACAUGCCCAAAGGUACGGAACAACUCCGGGAAACUGGAGCUAAUACCGUAUGUGACCGAGAGGUGAAAGAUUUAUCGCCUUUGGAUUGGCCCGCGUUGGAUUAGCUAGUUGGUGGGGUAAAGGCCUACCAAGGCGACGAUCCAUAGCUGGUCUGAGAGGAUGAUCAGCCACACUGGGACUGAGACACGGCCCAGACUCCUACGGGAGGCAGCAGUGGGGAAUAUUGGACAAUGGGCGCAAGCCUGAUCCAGCCAUGCUGCGUGUGUGAUGAAGGCCUUAGGGUUGUAAAGCACUUUCGCCAGGGACGAUAAUGACGGUACCUGGAUAAGAAGCCCCGGCUAACUUCGUGCCAGCCGCCGCCGUAAGAC
rnacentral:rRNA from 1 species